rnacentral:lncRNA from 1 species
CUUGGUAAGAAAUUGAGAAGGAAUACAAGUAUAACAGUCAGAAAUUUAUCCGCGAUGAAAAAAGUGUAACUGAUCGUUGCUCCCCAUAUUUCAAGACUAUUUGACAUCAGGUAAAUGACAUAAACAACGAUAGCCAAGAGAACGAAAUUGAUCUUAUAAAAUAUUUUUUUCUUUACCAGAUGACGCAUAACUACCCUUACACCACAAAAUUCUGGAGAAAGGUAAACAACAUGGUAAAUGACGAAGAGAGAACCAGCGCAGCUGUUAAAUAGCCAGAAACAUUCGAUCAUUCUAGGCAUGGGAAAUAGAUGGAAAUUUUUGCAAUUGGCAAACGUUCGAAACUCGCUGAAAAAACAAUCGACGGCCCAGAUGAUGAACAUGAUCACUCCAAUAAGCUGGCCAAGGAGUAUAGCGAUAAAUAAUAGCCAUUUAAAAUUUGAAAGGCAGGACUGACGACCACGAACGAUCAGUUGCUG